CCAUGUGAACAUACCUCGUGUUGCCUCGGCGGCGAGCGUAGUGCUCGGGAGGUGCCUACCCGGUACUUACCCUUGAGCUACCGUGCAGCUCCCUACCCGGGAGCUGCACGGUACCUGCCCUGGAGCUACCCGGUAGCUACCCUGGAGGACUUGCGUAUCCGCCGAAGGACCACUUAAACUCUUGUUUCUGUGUGGCACAUCUGAGUUAUUAUAUUAAUAAGUCAAAACUUUCAACAACGGAUCUCUUGGUUCUGGCAUCGAUGAAGAACGCAGCGAAAUGCGAUAAGUAAUGUGAAUUGCAGAAUUCAGUGAAUCAUCGAAUCUUUGAACGCACAUUGCGCCCAUUAGUAUUCUAGUGGGCAUGCCUGUUCGAGCGUCAUUAAGUCCAUUAAGCCUAGUUGCUUAGCGUUGGGAGCAUUACCGCAUGGUAACUCCUUAAAGUCAGUGGCAGGGUUACGGUACACUCUAAGCGUAGUAGAUUUCUUUCUCGCUUCUGUUGUGGCCGCGGCCGUUGCCAUAAACCUAUAAUUUUUUAUUGGUUGACCUCGGAUCAGGUAGGAAUACCCGCUGAACUUAA
rnacentral:rRNA from 1 species